AGUACCUGCCCUUGACUUUGGGAUACUUCAGGAAACUGGGGCUAAUACCGGAUAGGAGCUCCUGCUGCAUGGUGGGGGUUGGAAAGUUUCGGCGGUUGGGGAUGGACUCGCGGCUUAUCAGCUUGUUGGUGGGGUAGUGGCUUACCAAGGCUUUGACGGGUAGCCGGCCUGAGAGGGUGACCGGCCACAUUGGGACUGAGAUACGGCCCAGACUCCUACGGGAGGCAGCAGUGGGGAAUAUUGCACAAUGGGCGGAAGCCUGAUGCAGCAACGCCGCGUGCGGGAUGACGGCCUUCGGGUUGUAAACCGCUUUCGCCUG
rnacentral:rRNA from 1 species